ACAUAAAUGGAAGUCUCACCCCCUCAAGUGGAUUCUCUGUACUGUAGCUGGCUCAAGAAAGGAGAAGGGGCUUUGUCAAGUAAAACUGGCUGAUUGCCAGGUGUAAUCACCGAAACUCCAGCUACCGGUAGAACCCCAACAAGGUUGUGAUGAGCCUUCCCAAAUAUUUUCAGAAAUCAUGCAGUGACAGAAAUCCCACUGGACCAGAAAACCUUACAAUGAACUCCUUCAUGAUUCAUUUCCCACUUCUCAGAAUGCAUUUCAGCUGGUGGGAUGAGUAGCCGAUUCCAAUCACAAAUGAAUGCAGGGAUUGGGCCAAGACUAAGGGGCACGAGAGACACGGGAGAGGAGAAAUCUAAUUGCCUUCCUUAUCUGGUAUUCCUUUCAUUCUGGACUAGCUUACAAUUGAAAAAGAAAAACAACAACAACAACAACAACAACAAAAGACUGGCUUACUUUGAAGCCUGUAGAAAAGAUUCCCAGAGAAGCAAAUGUUUCAAGGAGAAAUCAGGACAUUGGGACAUCUCAUCUCAUCUCAUUUUUUUUUUUCUCUUUGGUUUUCUACCAGAGAAUAAAUUUGCCUCCUGCUAAAGAAUGGCUGUUUCUUAAGGCAAAAGCUAAACCACUAAUGUAAGAUGCUAACUUCCUUUGCAAAUCUUCCUUGAAUACAGUAAACGAAGAAGCAGCAGUGGCUUCAGAAAGAGGGAUGCAAUGAAUGACUUAAAAUCUCAUGGUAGUUUUCCCUGUGAAUGCAUUUCAGGAUGUUAGUCCCAAAGGGUAGUACAGAGAUAAAAUAUUUUUGUCAUUGUAAUAAUAUUGCACUGACUAAAACAGAAGUCACACUGGGGAGGCCCCUGAAGAUUUCGAUGAUUUGAGCUCCCUGAAGAUUUGAGCUCCAAUGUAACUGAAGCUCUGUUGCCCUCUGGCUGAGCCCAAAGAGAUACUUCAUUCGCUCUUGGCUUGGCGUCCUCACCAACAAGGGGAUACAGCUGUGGGUUACUGGUCUGACGGCUGGCUGCCACUCUUGUCAGACCUUCUUAGUACUAUUUAUUCAGAGAAUAUCUCCAGAUGUCUACCAUAAGAGAAGGCUUAACUUUUCUAAGAUAUGUGAUGUGUAUGUACACAGUAUCUCAGUUCAGUCACUGAUAUUUUAAUGAUUCAAUAUGUAACCUGAGGUUGCUAUACAGCUAGAAAUAAAUUGUUGAAAAAUGACUUU
rnacentral:lncRNA from 10 species